rnacentral:lncRNA from 10 species
AUCAUUUUUUAAAAAAAUUGGCCGGGCGCGGUGACUUCUAAGGUCCUUGCAGUUGUAGAUGUCUAUACUACUAUGAAAGACAUGUCUUUGCAGUUUUAUCACUUUAACCCUUAGCUCUAUUGUUUACUAACUGUGAAGCUUUGGACAAAUUACUUGACCUCUCUGUGCCUUUGUUACUUCAUCUGUAAAAUGGUAAUUCCCCCAAAGGGUUGUUAGGUAUGUGCUUAGAACACUGCCUUGUUGGGAAUAGGCCCCCAAAAUCUGGCCAUAAACUGGCCCCAAAACUGGCCAUAAGCAAAAUCUCUGCAGCACUGUGACAUGUUUGUGAUGGCCAUGACACCCACACUGGAAGGUUGUGGGUUCACCGGAAUGAGGGCAAGGAACACAUGGCCCACCCUGGGCAGAAAACCGCUUAAAGGUAUUCUUAAACCAUAAACAAUAGCAUGAGCGAUCUGUGCCUUAAGGACAUGCUCCUGCUGCAGAUAACCAGCCAGAGCCCAUCUCUUCAUUUUGGCCCAUCCCUUUGUUUCCCGUAAGGAAUACUUUUAGUUAAUCUAUAAAAACAAUGCUUAUCACUGACUUGCUGUCAAUAAACACGUGGGUAAAUCUCUGUUCGAGGCUGUCAGCUCUGAAGGCUGUGAGACCCCUGAUUUCCCACUCCACACCUCUAUAUUUCUGUGUGCGUGUUUUUAAUUCCUCUAGCACUGCUGGGUUAGGGUCUCCUUGACAGAGCUGGUCUCAGCAGUGCCUGGCAUAAAGAAGGUGCCACAGAAGUGUUGUUAGCUGUCCUAAUAUUGAAUAUGCUUCCAUGAAUACUAUGCAGCUCCCAGUGCCAGGUCAGGCAGGGGGAAGAACAAAUUCGAGAACUGACAAUGAAGCCACUUCACUGGAGAAUGGAGUUGUAGAGGCUUCUGCAAUCUAAGUGGGAGAUCAGGAAUUUUAGGCUUGGGGGCUGUACUGAGCAGCUUGCUGAGGCCCUCAGUUUUUUUUUUGUUUUGUUUUGUUUUGUUUUUUUUUUUUGUGACGGAGUUUCGCUCUGUUGCCCAGACUGGAGUGUGCAGUGGCACGACCUUGGUUUACUGCAACCUCUGCCUCCUGGGUUCACACCAUUCUCCUGCCUCAGCUUCCCAAAUAGCUAGGACUACAGGCGCCCGCCACCACUCCCGGUUAAUUUUUUUUUUUUUUUUGUAUUUUUAGUAGCGAUAGGGUUUCACCGUGUUAGCCCGGAUGGUCUCAAUCCCCUGACCUCGUGAUCUGUGCGCCUCAGCCUCCCAAAGUGCUGGGAUUACAGGCGUGAACCACCACACCCAGCCUCACCAUUUUUUUUUUUUUAAGAACUCAGGACAUAGAGUGGAUAGUGCCUUCUCCCAGCAAUUCCUAUGUCUGUGACCCAGUGCUAGAGCUACCUGUAAAACAGAUCUUUGAUUGUGCCAGGCUGUGCUUCUUCUAGGGGCUGGAAGAAGAUGAUUGUGAGACAGGUGUUAGAGGGAAGCCUGUGAAGAUAGGUGGGAAAUGAAAACAGCACAAAUCUUGUGUAAAAUAGAUAAGCAUCUCUUAUUAUUGGACAGUCUUUGUGGGAAGGUCUAUGGCACAUUGA